rnacentral:rRNA from 1 species
AUUGAACGCUGGCGGCAUGCCUAACACAUGCAAGUCGAGCGAAUGAAGGGGGCUUGCUCCUGUAUGCAGCUGCGGACGGAUGGGUAAGUCCUAGGAAUCUGCCCUAUAUUGAAGGAUAACGUCCGGUAACGAACCCUAAUAUCAUAUACGUUCAUAUGGUGAAAGUCGGGGUUCUUUGGACCUAACGCUAUCUGAUGAGACUAGGUCGGAUUAGCUAGUUGGUGUGGUAAAGGCCUACCAAGGCGACGAUGCGUAACUGAUCUGAGAGGAUGAUCAGUCACACUGGAACUGAGACACGGUCCAGACUCCUACGGGAGGCAGCAGUGGGGAAUCUUCGACAAAGGGCGAAAGCCUGAUGCAGCAACGCCGCGUGAGUGAAGAAGGUCUUCGGAUUGUAAAGCUCUUUAAGUUGGGAGGAACGAAAGUAAGUUAAACUCUUGACGUUUUGACGUUACCUAAACAAUAAGCCACGGCUAACUUCGUG